CCUUGCAAUCAUAGGCUUGAAUCAACAUUACAGAUCUUUUUGAGACAUGAAAAAAUUAGUUACAUAGCAUCUUUCUGUGUAGUAUUGGCAUUUGUUCAUGUCUAUUCAAGGGGUUCAACUCCAUUACCAAAUUUCUAACUGGAUAGGUUGAUGCUUCAGAAUAAAGGCUAAGUUGUGCACUUGGGUUAGGCUGCACCGGCCGUCUAGGAUGCACUGACAUGGAUCGUGUCACAGGCCGACCACCCUCCUUUCUAGCCUGCCUAAGCCACUGUGGAGAUGCAGUUUGAAUGGCACUGUCCAAACUUCAUAAAGCAUCUUUGGCAAUUUGCAGAGAUCUGCUUGUGGCAUUGAGCUUUUUGCUUUCUGCCAACAGUUCACCUAAUAUUUCUUUUGUUAUUAUUUUUAAAACUAAG
rnacentral:lncRNA from 1 species